UAUGGGGGAGGCAAGCGUUGUUGGGAAUUACUGGGCGUAAAGGGCGCGUAGGCGGGUGGACAAGUCUCUCGUGAAAGCCCACGGCUCAACCGUGGAAUUGCGGGAGAUACUGUCUGUCUUGAGUCCGGGAGAGGAGGGUGGAAUUCCCAGUGUAGCGGUGAAAUGCGUAGAUAUUGGGAGGAACACCGGUGGCGAAGGCGGCUCUCUGGCCCGGUACUGACGCUGAGGCGCGAAAGCUAGGGGAGCAAACGGG
rnacentral:rRNA from 1 species